rnacentral:rRNA from 1 species
GAUGAACGCUGGCGGCGUGCCUAAUACAUGCAAGUCGAACGGACGGACGAUAAGCUUGCUCCUCUGAUGUUAGCGGCGGACGGGUGAGUAACGCGUGGAUAACCUACCUCUUAGACUGGGAUAACUUCGGGAAGCCGGAGCUAAUACUGGAUGAUAUUUUGUACCGCAUGGUUCAAAAGAGAUAGACGGUUUUGGUGUCACUUAUAGAUGGUUCCGCGCUGCAUUAGCUAGUUGGUAAGGUAACGGCUUACCAAGGCAACGAUGCGUAGCCGACCUGAGAGGCUGAUCGGCCACACUGGAACUGAGACACGGUCCAGACUCCUACGGGAGGCGGCAGUAGGGAAUCUUCGGCAAUGGGCGAAAGCCUGACGGAGCAACGCCGCGUGAGUGAUGAAGGCCUUCGGAUCGUAAAACUCUGUUAUUAGGGAAGAACAUAUGUGUAAGUAACUCUGCACGUCUUGACGGUACCUAAUCAGAAAGCCACGGCUAACUACGUG